CACGUAGGACGCAAGCGUUAUCCGGAAUUACUGGGCGUAAAGAGCGUGUAGGCGGUGCUGUAAGUCAACCGUGAAAGCUCCCGGCUAAACUGGGAGAGGUCGGAUGAGACUGCAGCGCUAGUGGGUCGUAGAGGAAUGUGGAAUUCCGGGUGUAGUGGUGAAAUGCGUAGAGAUCCGGAAGAACACCGGAGGCGAAGGCGGCUUGCUGGACCUGGUCUGACGCUGAGGCGCGAAAGCGUGGGGAGCGAACAGG
rnacentral:rRNA from 1 species